rnacentral:rRNA from 1 species
GAGCUCGUAGGCGGUUUGUCGCGUCUGCUGUGAAAUCCCGAGGCUCAACCUCGGGUCUGCAGUGGGUACGGGCAGACUAGAGUGCGGUAGGGGAGAUUGGAAUUCCUGGUGUAGCGGUGGAAUGCGCAGAUAUCAGGAGGAACACCGAUGGCGAAGGCAGAUCUCUGGGCCGCUACUGACGCUGAGGAGCGAAAGGGUGGGGAGCAAACAGGCUUAGAUACCCUGGUAGUCCACCCCGUAAACGUUGGGCGCUAGAUGUGGGGACCAUUCCACGGUUUCCGUGUCGUAGCUAACGCAUUAAGCGCCCCGCCUGGGGAGUACGGCCGCAAGGCUAAAACUCAAAGGAAUUGACGGGGGCCCGCACAAGCGGCGGAGCAUGCGGAUUAAUUCGAUGCAACGCGAAGAACCUUACCAAGGCUUGACAUAUACGAGAACGGGCCAGAAAUGGUCAACUCUUUGGACACUCGUAAACAGGUGGUGCAUGGUUGUCGUCAGCUCGUGUCGUGAGAUGUUGGGUUAAGUCCCGCAACGAGCGCAACCCUCGUUCUAUGUUGCCAGCACGUCAUGGUGGGAACUCAUGGGAUACUGCCGGGGUCAACUCGGAGGAAGGUGGGGACGACGUCAAAUCAUCAUGCCCCUUAUGUCUUGGGCUUCACGCAUGCUACAAUGGCCAGUACAAAGGGCUGCAAUACCGUAAGGUGGAGCGAAUCCCAAAAAGCUGGUCCCAGUUCGGAUUGAGGUCUGCAACUCGACCUCAUGAAGUCGGAGUCGCUAGUAAUCGCAGAUCAGCAACGCUGCGGUGAAUACGUUCCCGGGCCUUGUACACACCGCCCGUCAAGUCAUGAAAGUCGGUAACACCCGAAGCCAGUGGCCUAACCGCAAGGAUGGAGCUGUCUAAGGUGGGAUCGGUAAUUAGGACGAAGUCGUA